rnacentral:rRNA from 1 species
UACGUAGGGGGCAAGCGUUGUCCGGAAUUAUUGGGCGUAAAGAGCGCGUAGGCGGUCCGAUAAGUCGGUUGUGAAAGUCAGGGGCUCAACCCUUGAAAGCCGGCCGAUACUGUCGGACUAGAGUCCGGAAGAGGCAAGUGGAAUUCCCGGUGUAGCGGUGAAAUGCGCAGAUAUCGGGAGGAACACCAAUGGCGAAGGCAGCUUGCUGGGACGGUACUGACGCUGAGGCGCGAAAGCGUGGGGAGCAAACAGG